GCAUGUUUAGUAGUACCUUUUUGUUAAUACUUUUUUUAUCUUUUCCCACACUUUUAAGGUGUUUCAUUUGCCUCAUUUAAAGCCAUGAAGGAAUUCUGGGAUGAAGAGAAUAAAGCAAAAAAAAGAAAAUAUGGCG
rnacentral:ribozyme from 1 species